rnacentral:rRNA from 1 species
AGCGAACGCUGGCGGCAGGCUUAACACAUGCAAGUCGAACGGGCGUAGCAAUACGUCAGUGGCAGACGGGUGAGUAACGCGUGGGAACGUACCUUUUGGUUCGGAACAACCCAGGGAAACUUGGGCUAAUACCGGAUAAGCCCUUACGGGGAAAGAUUUAUCGCCGAAAGAUCGGCCCGCGUCUGAUUAGCUAGUUGGUGAGGUAACGGCUCACCAAGGCGACGAUCAGUAGCUGGUCUGAGAGGAUGAUCAGCCACAUUGGGACUGAGACACGGCCCAAACUCCUACGGGAGGCAGCAGUGGGG